rnacentral:tRNA from 1 species
CUCGUGCCGGCACGAGCUCUAUCUUAUAUCUUAUGAAUGCAACUCAAACACUUUAAUUAAGCUAAGGCCU